rnacentral:rRNA from 1 species
UCUCUUCGGGGAUGAUUAAACCGGCGCACGGGUGCAGUAACACGUGAGUGACCUGCCUUUUAGACUGGAACAACUUACCGAAAGGUGAGCUAAUGCCGGAUGAGUUAUAUAAGUGCAUGUUUAUAUAGGAAAAGUUGGGGAGACCUGACGCUGAAAGAUGGACUCGCGUCCCAUUAGCUAGUUGGUAGGGUAAUGGCCUACCAAGGCGACGAUGGGUAGCCGGCCUGAGAGGGUGGCCGGCCACACUGGGACUGAGACACGGCCCAGACUCCUACGGGAGGCAGCAGUGGGGAAUUUUGCGCAAUGCUCGUAAGAGUGACGCAGCGACGCCGCGUGAAUGACGAAGGCCUUCGGGUCGUAAAGUUCUUUCGACAGGGAAGAAAAUGCCUAUAAGUAACUGUGUAUGUAUUGACGGUACCUGUAUAAGCAGCCCCGGCUAACUCCGUGCCAGCAGCCGCGGUAAUACGGAGGGGGCGAGCGUUGUUCGGAGUGACUGGGCGUAAAGAGCACGUAGGCGGUGUUGUAAGUCAUUAGUCAAAGACUAGAGCUCAACUUUAGUAAGGCUAGUGAUACUAUAAUACUAGAGUAUCAGAGAGGAUUGCAGAAUUCCUGGUGUAGCGGUGAAAUGCGUAGAUAUCAGGAGGAAUACCGUUAGCGAAGGCGGCAAUCUGGCUGGAAACUGACGCUGAGGUGCGAAAGCGUGGGUAGC